GCAAUCUGGCAUAAUCAGUUUAUUUAGCAACUUCCAGUUGUGUUCCUGUGUGCUUGGCAGAGCUGUGAGGGGCUGGAGUGCUCUGUGCGCCCACCAGGACGUGCAUAAGGAGUAGCAGACAGCAGGUCUGGCACCAAGGGUGAGGCAGCAACAGUGCCAAGAAACCUGUAGGGCAGAACCCAUUACAGAUACCAGGGGCAUUAAAAGUCCUGAUCUAAUGUGCCUUUAUGGCUCUUCAGACAACGUAGUGGAAAACACUGAGUUCAUCUUUCAGACUCAGAGACUUUUUGUUGGAUGAAGGCUCUUCUGUCUGGGCUCAAAUUAUUUCUCUCAAAGCUGGCCUCAUCUCUUUCUCUUGACUAUAAGGCAAGAAAGAAUUCCAGGGUGAUCUUUGUGACCUUCUAGCAUAAAUGAAUAUUCCCUGGCAUUACAUUUUGAAAGUGUGAUGUGCCAAAGAAGUACAAUUAUUUUUGUGUGGACAACACCUAAUUUCCUAUAAAAGCACUAGGGAGCAAACUGUAGUGCUACAGCAUCACAGAUCAUUCUGAAUAUGAAAGAAGAGACAUUGUUUCUGGGAAACCAUUAUAAACCCCUGUAGCAGGGAUUAAUAAGGGCAUAGAAUUAAGUAUGUUCAGGUAGGUGUUUGAGAAAUAGUUCUGUAAACUUGUCUAGGUUUUAGCACUUAAAAAUGGAGGAAUGUAUGAAGCCUGUUAAAAUUUCUGGCAAUAAUUACUUUUGCUCGUAUCUGUUGAGUUUUACUUGGGCUCUAGUAAAUUAGAGUGAUACAUCAAAUAAAUGGAAAAGACUGUCUGGUUUACAAGUCCUUUAAGGUGUUCUGGUUGUAUGUGCUGGUUAGCUGUAUCUGCCUAACAAUUGUUCCCAGUUAGUUCCAGAGCCCUCUGGUUGUUCACAGGAUAAAUGACCCAUUUGUUUUUCAGUAACCUCUGGUAUUUCUCAAGCCCAUGACAUAAGUAAUGUGAAACUCUAUACCAAAAAAUAAUUUCACCACUAUGGAGCCAAAAAUGCAAAUUCAGUUUCAGAAUACUUUUAGAAAGGUAAGGAUUUUUAAGGGACUUUUUACAAGGUCAUGUAGUGAUAGGACAAGGGGGUAUGGCUUUAAACUGACAGAAUAGGUUUAGAUUAGAUACAAAAGGGAAACGUUUCAUUAGGAGGGCAGUGAGGCUCUGAAACUGGUUGCUCUAAGAAAUUGUAUACCAUCAAGGCCAUGUUGGAUGGGACUCUGAGCAACCUGGUCUAGUGAAAGUUGUCCCUGUCCAUGGCAGAGGGAUUGGAGCUAUAGGUGAUCUUUAAGGUCCCUUCCAACCCAAACCAUUCUGUGAUUCUGUGAUUGUAGUUUUUACUCUUUCACUCAAUUAAUUCUUUUUUACUGAUUGUCAAGUACUAGGGAAAAAAAAGUGCAAUCUUUAAUUUCACUCUGGAAUAAUCUUUAAAAAGAAAAAGAUGGUUUUUGUUCUUUGCCUUGACCUCCACAACACCUUCCUUUUCCCCACAGCAACCAAACUUUAAAGAAUAGUUGAAAAAACCUUAUUUUCUCUGAAAUUUAUUCAUAUAUAUGGUAAUGUCACUUUUAUUUGAGAACUCUUUCUUCCUUCAGUUCACCUCAAGACUUGCUUGGGCCCUGAUCAAAUCUGGCCUCAUGCUGUUUCAUACCAGGGAGACAUGAAAGGGAAUGCGUGAAAGAGUUAAAGUUUUCACCAAUUCCUUAAGUUUAGGUACACAAAAACUUUCUCUCACAUGGUCAUUUUUGUUUUAUUAGUCAAAUAUUGGAACUGACAGCAAACAAGACACCAUGAAUUGGGACAGUAUAUCCCUUGCUCAGCUCAUUGGGAAUGGGUGCAAGGACAGCAGGAGAGGAAAUCAUAAAACAGCCUCAUUUAGGUAUGAAGCAGUUGAUCAGAUUUGCAAAUACAACAAGUUUAGUGGAGUUGAAACUGUAUGUAAUUACAGUUUAAUAUAGUUAAAACUAUAUGUAAUUCUAUAUACAUACAGGUAUCUAUAUUUUUAUACAUUCAUUUAUUUGGUGUAUAUCUGUAUUUAUCGGUGCAUGGAAACAAAGUAGGAGAUGGAGUAAAAUUCCAUAGUUAUUACUGAAGAACAUGUCUGAUUCCUAAGUGCCCUGUAGCUUUCUGGUACCCAGCAAAAGCCAGACUAGAGCAACCCAAUUGCAUUCUGAAAUGGCAAGAGAAGCUGGCUACUACAGCUGUCUUCUUGAGCAGAAAUGUGCUGUGUGGAACACUUCCCUAAGUUAUUUUUGUUCAUGACAUCUGUCCAUAGUAAUCUGGUUCAGUUUCUCUGGUUCCUGUUGCAGCAGGAUCAGACGUGGCAGUAGCAUAUGGGUCCUGUAUCUCCAGCUGUAGAGUACCUGCCUUCAGCUUGUAUUUUCAGCAAAAUAAGGCCUGCUUUUAAUAUGAUUGAAUAUGCUCUCUUUAAACAUUUGGAUACUAUGAAUUAAUGCGUUUCAGCACUGUCAGUUGAAAAGAAAUAAUCAAAGCUUCAGAGAUAGGUUGGUGAAUUUAAACCACUAAUUUAAUGUGGAUUUGUCAAAUUUUUGUGUAACAAUGAAAAACGUGUUUCUAUUUCAUGGUUUAAGAAAGAAGGCAGCAGUGUAGCUCUUUUAUUUUGUUUAUUUCUAAAUGUUUCAUAGUGUUAUGGCUAAUGUAUAUAUUUUUGUUUCCACUAGUGUACCUCUUUUGUGCUUCUCCUUGUUUGACAGGUAUACUUUGGUUUUUUUUCCCUAGGUUUUAUCUUUUAAAGUGACUGUAACUGCAGUGGAAGUAACUGCAGUCUGUGAAUUCUGUUUCGUGUCCUGAAAGGCUCAAGGGUGGAAGUUUUUAUCUCACACUCCUCACAUGCAGAGACUGAAACUGCAGUAAAAAUUGUUACCAUUUUAAGGAGUUGGGCUUUAAGAUUUGGAAAAAGAAAUAGCUAGGCAUCAGUUAGAGGAAUAAUUUUUAACUGAUUAUCCAUUAUUCUGUAAAAUGCCAGGGUAGAGUCUAUUGCUUUCCUCUCUCUCCAAGGACCAUGUGCUUCAUAAUUAGUCUCAUGUGAUAACAACCUUAAUGAACAUGGAAGAUGGCAGCAUAUACAUUAUAAAAUACAAAAAUAGUUUUAAAGCUUAUCAUACUCCCUAAAAAGGAUAUCUAUCACAAAAACAGAGAAAUGCAUAUGUUCACUGCUCUAGGCACAAUGCAGAGAGCUGUCUUUUUGGGGGGCUGUCAGUGGAGGUCCUGUAUGAAAUGCAGGCAGUGUGUGUGUUUGUAACCACGAGGCUGCCCAGCAUUUGUGAAACUAGGCAAGAAUAAGGCUGAUCAUGGGAGGAGUAAAUGUAACCAAAUGUCAUAUGUUUGCUUGUUUCUGGCUUGGCACAUGAUUUAAUAUUGAGUAAUUGGGCAUAGUUGUAACCAGGGGCAGGUAGAAGUGACCAGUGCACUGGUGGAGGAUUUACUUUAAGUUUGUGUUAAUUAAAGAGUUGGUUGGAAGACCUCAAGAUGCCCCUGCAGGAAUUCUAAGUAUCCCCAAUCCCACACUGACUUGCAAAAAAAGUUUUUUUACUACUUGAGAUGUGUUCUUGGCCCAGUGAUCACACUGGCUUCAUUCUGAUAGGGCUGUCAACAGCCCAGCUGCUACAGCAGUUGUUUCUUCUGGAUUUUGUACUGAAGAUGAUGGAAAGCUUGUUUUGGCCAAAGAAUAUUUUCUCUUAGCUGGUGCUGCUACAGGUAAUUAGGUAUUGACUGCUCCCUUUAUUUCUUUAUAUUGGCAAGAUAUGAACUAUUUCAGCACAGGAGAUCAAAUGCUCGGAUGAAAUGUUAGCUAUCAAGUGCUGCCUUCUCAGCCUCCACUCAGCAUGAAGAGGGACAAUUACAACUCAGUAAGGGCAGUGGUCUGAGGCAGCCAAAUGCCCUGUCUGGCUGCCAGAAGAGCACCUUGACAUGUUGGAGCUGUUACUAAACAAACCUUUAAUAAUAUUUUCCUUAUUUUUUUCUCAUUUUUUUCUUUGACUAUUCAGCUCUAUGGAAUAUUUUAUAUAUGUAAUAUGGUCAAAAUUUGUAUGCAAUUUCUAAUAGCAUUUGACUUCCCAUAAGACUGUUGUGGUAUUGGGGUAUCACUGAUCUGUAUGGGACCACAAUUAAGUAAUUAUUCUCUAGAUUUGUUUCAGUGUUCUCCUUCUGUUGCUUUUAUUACAUAGGCAAAAAUGCUAUGCGUAGCGCUCUCCAAAAUGAGAAACCUGUAUUUCAGUGAUUAUGAUGUGAGUACUUAAAAAACAUGUCCAAACUCUUGUUGUUUACCACUGGAGUAUGGAUCUGCACCAAGCUGAGGUGUGCAUGAGCUCAGCUGUCACUCCCAGGCUGGAUGUGCUGAGCUGCUUCGAGCAGCUGAGGCUCUGCUGGUGAAGGGCCCAGUUCCCACAGACAUGUCUCAAUCUGGGAAUUGCUGGAGCUGGUUCUGUUACAUGUCAGAAUGCUUAAAAAGGGCCAGGGAAGGGGAAACAAGCUCUUAUGAUGGGCAUGUAAGUUCUCUGUUUCUGUAUUUAUGGUUUCUGCUUUUAUGGUUAAAAUUUUUACUCUGUUUUUCUGUGGUGAGAAUCAGAAUCACAGAUCUAUUCUAGGUAUAAGUCUGACUUUGGAUCUGACUUGAUUCAGAUCCAGAUUUCUAAAUCUAAUAAUAAUUUCCAUAUUUCAAAUAAAUUUGAUUUUUAAGUCCUAUCUUGAUAUUUUUUCUGAUUUUUUUUGUAUUCAUACAGCCAUAGAAGAGUUUUCAUGCCUCCUGAACUCAAAAGAAUAUCUGUGUUUUCCUGUAUAAACCUUAGAUGUGAAUAUGUUAAUACAGAUAUUUGUUGAAUAUUCUCUGAACGUUUGUGUAUAACCACAGAAACAAAGAAGCCCUAAAGAGAAAGACUUAUUUUUAUGCUGAAAGCAUCAGUAUGUACAGAGAUAGAAUCAAAUUUCAAGAUACAACCAAUGCAGUACGCAUUAGUGUUAAGAAAAUAUUAAUGUGGAAUUUAUAAGUCCGUGCGCUUUCAUAGAAAAUGGACAUUUUUGGACAUGAACAUAAUUGUAUAUUUUGGAGAGAGAAGACUCUUCUUAUUUGUCUUGGAGUCAUGAACAGAUUUGAAGUUGUUUUUCAGUGCUGAGGAUUUCAGUUUAUAUGAGGUAGGAGGUUGGAAUAAACAGCUUUAUUGCUUGGGGACAGCUGUAGUGGUGAUGCUUUUAUUAACACUGUUUCAUGCUGGCAUCUAUCUUGUUCUCCUUUCAAAAAUAAUAUGUCAUUUCAUACUGUGUAUUAAAUAGGUGAGGCAGUUGGGGGCUACAGUCUGCUUUCAGUUAUAUGCUGCUGUGUAGAUAUGAAUUCAGUGGCAGAAUGUAACUCCAUAUGUGUCCACAAUUAAAAAAAAAAAAAAAAAAAAAAAAAAAAAAAAGGAAGUCAGACAUGGCAAUUUUACAUAAAUACUCAUGGUUUUUAAUUAUCAUAGCAAAAGACAUGCAUCAUCUUCAGGUGUGUAUAUCCUCACACUCAAACACUCUCACCCUCAAAGAUGUUUAAGUUGAAGCAGGCAGAUGAUGGACUGCUGUGAAAUGUAAAGAAUCAACAGCCCAUGUUGGAAGAUGCCUGGUCACCUGGUCCUGCCUUUUGUGGGAAGGAGAGCCUAGGUGAAACUACCUGGUACCCAGUCCAAUCCUGUCCCCACCUCCAGUGAUGGGGAAUGUAUCAUGUUCUUAGGGAGGUUCUUCUGCUAAUUGAUAUAACAAAAUCCCCCCCCCAAAAAUCAACUAAACUAAACCAAACCAAAAAAAUACCACCACCAAGUUUUUCUGGUAUUAAGAUGAAAUCUUGCCUGAAGCAACUUGUACCUGUAGCUCCUUGUCUUCUCUUUGUGAAGAGAAAGCCUCUGUCCUCGCUGUAGCUACCAUUUAAGUACACAAAUCAUGUGAUUAUGUUCCCCUGAGCCUUCUUCAGGGAGAAAAGACUUAACUUCCUCUGUCCUUCUUCACAGUGCAUGCUUAUCAACGCUUUAAUCAUCUGCAUGGGCCUCCUCUGAGCCCUCUCCAGUGCAUCCUUGUCUUUCAUGGGAUGUGGCAGCCAGAAUUUGGCAAAAUUCUGCAGGUGCAGCCUGAGUGGAGUGAGAUAGCACAACUCUGUCUCUACUACUGUCUGCUAUAAGACCCACUCUGUUUUGCAGAAACUUCCUGGAAAGUGUUGUCACACAUGAAAGGCAUUUUCUGACUUGCUAGUAACCAUAGACAGCUAUUUUUCUGCCCUUUUGGACCAAGCUGUUUAAAUAAUCCUGUUGUUAUGGAAAUUUAUGGUAAUGAAAGUACCAUAUCAGCAGUAUAAAAAAUACUCUCUAAAAUUGCAGAGAGAUCUAUAGGAAGCUCUCUAAUUAUUGCUGUUAGGUUUUUUUACUGUUUCCUAAAUAUUUUGUGGAACAAUAUUAUCUCAUUCUUUUUAGACUUGUGUCUGUCCAUGGCAGCAGGUCAAAUAAUGACAUCUGAAAAUCCAUUAAUGGCCCUGGAAAAGCGUUUUGUCAAAGGAUGUGUCCAGUAUUUCUUUCUUCUUUGUUUUCUUUCUUCAUGCUGUGAAAAAGGUUUAUCUUCUCAUAUGUUUACUUUCUACUCCAGGUGUAUAUAAUAUAGCCUUACAAAUUGUUUAUAACAAAAAUGCUCUCUGUUUCGAUAAUGUGCUUGUUGGUGCUACUGUGCUGUGUCUUCAGCAGUCCUGAUGGGAAAGUGGCAGGAGUUAGUCCUGUUCAGGGCAGCUUGGGGUGCUGAUGGUCACAGCUUGGCCCCUGCACAGCUCUCCCUGCCUGGGAAGGAGCGGCAAGAGGUGGCCCCGAGGUGGCCAAGUGAGCAGCACUGAGCAGGAGCCUCAAUUACAGAGUGCCACAGUAGUGCAGAACUGAAAUACAUUAGUAAAAUUAAAAUUUGUCCUCAUUCCCUCGGUGGGUAAUACAGUUAAUGAAAAUAGAUCUAACCAAAUUAAGAUAAUUUAUUUCAUUAGUUUACGGCACUGUAAAACUUUUCAGGGCACUACAGCCCUUUGGUGCAAACAUGAAAUUGAUGCAGUUCCACUGAUCACUUCAAAGACCACAAAGGUUAAAACUUUUAGGUGUAUUAAAGCAAUUCUGUUAAUUGUGUCUAUAGAGGAUUCUCCCUUGCCCUUCCUAGUAAAGUAUUCUUAAUUUAAAAUUCACAUUAUGCUUGUUCUGCAUUCUGGCCUUUUAACCAAAGUGUAAAUAUCUGAUUACUUGUGUCUUCAAGGCUUAAAAAGAAAUUAUGCAUUUCUGUUUCAGAAGGUGGUACUGGUAGUACAUGGUAUUGAUAUUUUAACUUUUUUCCCCUUACAUUUUGUAUUCUUAUUUGCUCUACCUUUCUCUUCUUCCUAUGUACGUGCUUAAUGAUUUGUAAUACAAGUUGCUAUGGGGCAGGAGCCAAUUCCUUGGAAGGAAAAAGGUGCCAUCUCUACACUCCAUUCCCUAAAUCCCUUUCCUGUUGUAUUUUGUGUAGUCUUGAUGCUAGUUUUUUCUAUGUUCUAUCAGAAAGACACCGUUCAGAAUGAGAAGGUUAUCCCAGAUGCUGUAGGUUUGGGUUUUUUCACCAAACCACAGGAUGAUUUGGCUUGGAAGGGACCUCUGUAAACCAUGUAGUCCAACCACCUGCUAAAGCAGGUUCACCUGGAGGAGGCUGCACACAAUCAUAUCCAGGCAGGUUUUGAAUAUCUCUGGAGAAAGAAACUCCACAAACCCUCUGGGCAGCCUUUCCCAGUGCUCUGUCACCCUCAAAGAAUUAUUUUAUUGUUCCUUUCAAUUUAUUAGAAAACCCAAGAUCAACAAUUUGCUUCCUUUUGUUGUCAAACCAAGAUUUUAUAAGUCUGCAUUAGAAGCCAGACUGGUGUUAGCUUAAGCUUCACAGUAAUUUUUAGUUAACCUAAUUCAUGCUGUAGAAUUUUCUUUACCUUAAACGGAAAUGUAAGUUCCUUUUUUUUUUUAAAAAAGCUCUGAUUUUCUUCCUGAUACAAUUUUUCUUCCAAAUGUCCUAUGUUACUUAUUUUAAAGUAAUAUUUAUAUUAUUAAUUUGUAGCGGAAGUUUUAGUCCUUCCUACACUAAAAUAAAAACACUUCCUACAGUAAAAUAAACUUUUCUGGACUGGAACCAUGAAUGUGAGAGCUCUUGCCUUCUCCUUAGAGUUUUUUGGAGAGAUUCAGGUAAAUCACUGCUGAGACCUGCAAGUCAGUUAACUCCAAGCAGAACAGAAAUAAGGACAAAGUGGUUAUUUUGGGCAAGGGAAAAAGAAAGAAUUUAUAUGAGUGGGAAACAUAUCUAAUUUAUUGAAUAAUAGCAGGAUGAUUUUAGUAGUUUUUCUUUCAUUUAAUUUUUUUUUUUCACUAAUUGUGAGGAAGGUGUUUUCAGAAAAGGGCCAAAUUUAUCCUUUCUGUUGUGCAAGCGAUAGUUAAUUUCUCUUCCAUAGAUGGAAAUAGGAAAGAUGCUUACUCUUUAAAAUCCUGUGUGGACAGGUCAUUUUAAUGACAUGGUUGCACUUGGCUGUAAAUGGGAAUGAUACUGUGUAACUUAGAGUUAAUAAUUGAGUUAUGUGGAAGUAAUUUGCCUGGGUUUUUGUUUUAUUUUGGGUUUUAAAUUUAAUCUUGAUUUUAUUGCUUAAGUAUGAGCAUUUCAUUAUUGAAUGUAGUACUCUCUGGCUGUAUUAAGUGGUUACUGUAAUUUAUAGGAUACUUUGAGAAAUGUCAUGAUUCUCAUGAAGCGACACAGCAUGAUUUAGAGAGUGCAGCAACUGAGUGAAUGGAAUUACGUAAUAUGACCUGGUUGAUGCGAGAUACCAUAAGAUUUUAAUUUAUCUCCUCAGUAUAACUGGGUGAGAAAAGAAGAUAAUAGGCCAGCCCCACCAGUUCAUUCAAUGGCUGAUUUGAAAAUAAGUCCAUUCUAAAUUGAUCUUGAAACUACUUGGAGUUGCAGAUGAAAUGAUCACCUUCCUAUCCAGGGCCAGGGAAGGGGCAAGCAGGGACAACAGGAAUUAAGUUGGUUAGGAAAUGGGGCUGUAGGAAGAAGUUAUUUACUUCUAUAUAUGUCACAUACAAAACAGAAAAAAUCAAAAAUACCUCUCUUUUUUGUAAAUACUUUUAUUUGAUCUGAUUUAAUAUAUAAUUAAAAAUAUUUUCAGAAGACCCAAGAACUAACUGCCAGCUGCCUUGUGGCACUGGUGAGGUUUUUUGCUAAAUCGCUGUGCCAGAAAAAGAUCAGCAAUGUGUAACUGAUGCAGUUACUCUGAGGGAGUAACUCUGAGGGAUGUUCAAUAUUCAGCAUACACAGAAUUAAAGCAAAACCAGCACAGCUAGUGUUUUCAUGAAGAAGCAAUUGAUUGGAUGAACAAAAGAACUUCUGUAAUAAACUGCUGUAAAGAUUUUACUUUUCAAAAACAUACUCCUUGUAAUUGUGAUCUCUUGAAUGUGAUAUUUUAAGAAUAAGAAUUGUUGCCCAGAUUCCCUAUUAAGGUAUUACUUUCAUGCCAUCUACAUGUGGUUAGUUCAACUUCAUUUGGAUUGAAUUUUUUUAUACUUCUUUUUCCAGCCAAGAGUUGACUAUUUAUGAAUUUGAGAAAAAUCAGUUGGCUAUUAUUUUCAUUUGCUAUUGAAAAUAUUGCUUGUUUUCACAGUUUAAAAAUUAGGGAAGUAUACAUACAAAAUUAUUUCCAAAAUGGGAGGGGAAAAAAAAAAUUACCCUUUGGUUUGUGUACUGUGCAGGCAUUUUUACAGACUGCGGAAUAAACACAUGAGGAGUGAGGUAUGAGGAUGAUCAAAAUCUUUGGUUCUCUUAAUAUUUCUUCAAAAUACUGGGCAGGAAGCCAUUGUUCAGUCACUUUGUUUCAAAGCCUAAUUUUCUCUUCCUUUUGUGGUACCCUCAUUUGUCUUCAAAAAUCUUUACUUUCCAAAUGUGCAGGAACUCAUGAUUGCUCAUAAUUUUCACUCAUUUAUCCAAAGCACAGACUAAAUUAAAUGUCCCAAAAGAAAGCAGCCAUAUCUGUGAGCAUCUCUGCUUAAAAUUAUUGGAAGUUGCAUUGAGUAUUCCAUCAUGACAUUUUUAUUUAUCUUGGUUUUCUAGGCAAUAAUUGUUACAACAAAGCACAGACUUCAUAAAGUAAGCCUAUCAGUAGUUCUUCCUUGUAGUUACACUUUACCACUAUAAAUAGCUUUCUCUUCAUGAAAACACUUUUAACUUGUCCUCUCAUCAGAACUGAUAGAUUUUUCUAGUGACUUGAAGGUCUUUAAAACUGUUCUCCAUGCAAAGGCAUAAUAUAAUAUUUCAGUAGGAUAGUGUGUAUUGUAGCAUUGUGAAAUUAAUGUAGCUCAAGGACUCUAACAAUUUUUUUCUCUAAAUUACCAAAUGUCAGCUUUACUGAAAAACUGAAAUUGGGUAGGAGGCACUUCAGCUCCACACUGGUGUGUCAGAAGUCAGCAGAAAAUACUGGGAUGUAGGCUGGGAAAUAUGUAGGAAAAAAAAAAAAGUUGAUAUAAUAUAGUCAAUGUGAACCCACAUUGAUCUACCACAUAUCUACCUACACCAUUGCAGCACAGCUCCUUAAUGGUUGUUUAAUUUUAUGGCUUCUUGUGUUUGAGACACUCUGUGCACAUCAAAUAAAAGGAGGCGCAGUUGAAGAGUUGUGCCCUCCCAUGGUGGCCCCUGGGGCUUUGAGCACGUUGGUGUCAGGCGCGCUUUGACUUGUCUUACUCCAAAGCCAAACCUCAGAAACCUUGGGUGAAACCAGAGCAGUGCUUGCCUCUGCUGAGUGCAGCUGAGACUCUUCUGGUUGGUGGGAGUCGCUUCGAAACCGUCCCUGGGGCUGUUUCAGCAGAGCAAAGUGCAGCUGCUGGGGCUCGCUCCAGCUGGGUGUUCUGGUGAGAAGUGGAACCUCUCUGGGUCAUCUCAGCCAGGAGACUCCACAAAGAUAAAAUUCAUUUAAUUUGUCAUGCUAUCCUUGUUUGCCAGUUAGAACACAGCAAACCUUCACGUUCAGUUUUGUAGUUCAGCUUUGUUGCUCUGCUCGUCCAUAUAAACAUUGGAGUUAAAUGAAGUAUAGGUCCAUAUUUGUUUGAAUACUAGAAAUACAGAGCAAUUCAUUAACUGCUCAUUUUAAAGUGUUGUCACUGAUGACAUGCAUAUAUAUACAUAUAUAUGAGCAUCUGUAUGUUUACAUGUGCCCAUAUAUAACUUCUAAAACUUUGAGACAAAGCUUUUUCAUGCAAUUCUUUCUUUUUUUAAUAUUCAUGUUGCUCCGUUUUCAGUAAUUUUCUUUAUAUAUUGUGCUUAUCUUGAUAGCAUCAGUAAGUGUUUUAGGUAAGAAAGUGCCCAGUGUGAACUUGUGCAUGCUAGAAGAGGUAGUAAAUAAAUAUAAUUUUAAAAAAAAAUUGAUUCUGCUUUUUUGACCUUGCAAAAAAAAAAAAAGCAAACCAA